AGUGAACGCUGGCGGUAGGCCUAACACAUGCAAGUCGAACGGCAGCACAGUAAGAGCUUGCUCUUACGGGUGGCGAGUGGCGGACGGGUGAGGAAUACAUCGGAAUCUACUUUUUCGUGGGUGAUAACGUAGGGAAACUUACGCUAAUACCGCAUACGACCUACGGGUGAAAGCAGGGGAUCUUCGGACCUUUCGCGAUUGAAUUAGCCGAUGUCGGAUUAGCUAGUUGGCGAGGUAAAGGCCCACCAAGGCAACGAUCCGUAGCCGACCUGACAGGAUGAGCGGCCACACUGGAACUGAGACACGGGCCAGACUCCUACGGGAGGCAGCAGUAGGGAAUCUUCCGCAAUGGGCGAAAGCCUGACGGAGCAACGCCGCGUGAGUGAUGAAGGUCUUCGGAUCGUAAAACUCUGUUAUUAGGGAAGAACAAAUGAGGAAGUAACUAUGCACGUCUUGACGGUACCUAAUCAGAAAGCCACGGCUAACUACGUG
rnacentral:rRNA from 1 species